rnacentral:rRNA from 1 species
AGUGAACGCUGGCGGUAGGCCUAACACAUGCGAGUCGAACGGCAGCACAGUAAGAGCUUGCUCUUACGGGUGGCGAGUGGCGGACGGGUGAGGAAUACAUCGGAAUCUACUUUUUCGUCGGGGAUAACGUAGGGAAACUUACGCUAAUACCGCAUACGACCUACGGGUGAAAGCAGGGGAUCUUCGGACCUUGCGCGAUUGAAUGAGCCGAUGUCGGAUUAGCUAGUUGGCGGGGUAAAGGCCCACCAAGGCGACGAUCCGUAGCUGGUCUGAGAGGAUGAUCAGCCACACUGGAACUGAGACACGGUCCAGACUCCUACGGGAGGCAGCAGUGGGGAAUAUUGGACAAUGGGCGCAAGCCUGAUCCAGCCAUACCGCGUGGGUGAAGAAGGCCUUCGGGUUGUAAAGCCCUUUUGUUGGGAAAGAAAAGCAGCAGGUUAAUACCCCGCUGUUCUGACGGUACCCAAAGAAUAAGCACCGGCUAACUUCGUG